rnacentral:rRNA from 1 species
GACGAACGCUGGCGGCGUGCCUAAUACAUGCAAGUCGAACGCAGUGGGGACGGGUGAGUAACACGUGGGUAACCUCCCAUCACAGGGGAUAACACUUGGAAACAGGUGCUAAACCGAUACUGAUUGAUGGACCCGCGGUGCAUUAGCUAGGUGGUGAGGUAACGGCCCACCAAGGCCACGAUGCAUAGCCGACCGGCGAGGUGGAUCGGCCAAACUGGAACUGAGACACGGCCCAGACUCCGACGGGAGGCAGCAGUGGGGAAUCUUCGGCAAGGUACGAAAGUCUGACCGAGCAACGCCGCGUGAGUGAAGAAGGUUUUCGGAUCGUAAAACUCUGUGGGUAGAGAAGCGGUAUCUAACCAGAAAGCCACGGCUAACUACGUGCCAGCAGCCGCGGUAAUUC